rnacentral:misc_RNA from 1 species
UCCGGUUUGACACCGGCAGUCUCCCUAGAGUGCCCGGCUUAACCCGCUGGUAACUAGGGACGAGGGUUGCGCUCGUUGCGGGACUUAACCCAACAUCUCACGACACGUGCUGACGACAGCCAUGCACCACCUGCACACAGGCCACAAGGGAACUGAUAUCUCUACCAGCGUCCUGUGCAUGUCAAACCCAGGUAAGGUUCUUCGCGUUGCAUCGAAUUAAACCACAUCAUCCACCGCUUGUGCGGGCCCCCGUCAAUUCCUUUGAGUUUCAGCCUUGCGGCCGUACUCCCCAGGCGGGACACUUACUGCGUUAGCGACGGCACCGAGGGGGUCGCUCCCCCCGACGCCUAGUGUCCAUCGUUUACGGCGUGGACUAC